rnacentral:rRNA from 1 species
UACGAAGGGGGCUAGCGUUGUUCGGAAUUACUGGGCGUAAAGCGCGCGCAGGCGGCUAUCCAAGUCAGUGGUGAAAGCCUGGAGCUCAACUCCAGAACUGCCUUUAAGACUGCAUCGCUUGAAUCCAGGAGAGGUGAGUGGAAUUCCGAGUGUAGAGGUGAAAUUCGUAGAUAUUCGGGAAGAACACCAGUGGCGAAGGCGGCUCACUGGACUGG